rnacentral:rRNA from 1 species
GACAGAGGGUGCAAACGUUGUUCGGAAUUACUGGGCGUAAAGCGCGUGUAGGCUGCUCGGAAAGUCGGAUGUGAAAGCCCUGGGCUCAACCUAGGAAGUGCAUUCGAAACUUCUGAGCUGGAGUGCUGGAGAGGAAGGCGGAAUUCUCGGUGUAGAGGUGAAAUUCGUAGAUAUCGAGAGGAACACCGGUGGCGAAGGCGGCAUCCUGGACCAAUUCUGACGCUGAGGAGCGAAAGCCAGGGGAGCAAACGGG